AGAGAUCCAUCAAAUGAAGAAUCGGAAAGAUGAUAAGAAGAAGGAAAUAAAGUGGAGAUAAAAAUUGAUCUCUCUUUCCUUUUGUUUUUCUUCUUUCUUAUCUCUCCUCCCUUCU
rnacentral:ribozyme from 1 species